rnacentral:tRNA from 1 species
AGUCCAGUCAGGCCGGGCGCUUCGUUUACAUCGAAGAUGUCAGAGGUUCAAAUCCUCU